rnacentral:lncRNA from 1 species
AUGAUGCCAUGAGAUAGGGAGUCCUUAACGAUGGGAUAAGAGUAUAAUUACCAAAAAAGAAAGAAAAAAAUAAAGGGAUGACAAUAAUGCUCUAUGUGCAGCUAAAGAAUCUGUUGUGUCGAUUCUGGAGUAGCUAAGUUAGUAAUUAUAGGCCAAAUAAUCUUUUAAAAAGGCAUAACGGGCGCCCCAAAGUUUUUUUCAUAGGAUAAUAGUGUCAUCAAAGCUUUCCAAGAUCUAUUAGAGAAGCAACA